UUCGCCGUCGGUUAAGAACGAGAGCGGACGUCGUGUUGAAAAUAUUUUGUUUUGUUGUGGCAAAGAAAAAAACAAGAAUUUUUGAAAGAAAAUUAUAAUACUGUUUUUGAAUUGCUUAAAAUUUUAGUUUGUUGCUCUAAAAAAGCAAUUAAUAAAAUUUAAAUGGAUUAAACGGUUAUACGAAUUCAUUGUACUAAUUUUAUAAUAAAAACGCACAAAGCAAAAAGUGUAAAUUGUGUUUACUUCAAAUAAAAUAAAAACAAAAAAAAAAUAAAACAAAUUUUAAGUUCGAAUUUAGUUGGAAACUAAACGCGCUGUUUUUCUUCUUCUUCUUCAUUGAAAAAAGUAGCAAAUAUCAACGUUUUAAUUAAUCCGAAUGUGGACGCAGCUGUUUUAUCAAAUCAGGU